rnacentral:rRNA from 1 species
AUUAUUCCCCCGGGGGGAAUCUAGCAUAUCAAUAAGCGGAGGAAAAGAAACCAACAGGGAUUGCCCCAGUAACGGCGAGUGAAGCGGCAACAGCUCAAAUUUGAAAUCUGGCCCUUGGGUCCGAGUUGUAAUUUGUAGAGGAUGCUUUUGGCGAGGUGCCUUCCGAGUUCCCUGGAACGGGACGCCAUAGAGGGUGAGAGCCCCGUCUGGUCGGACACCGAGCCUCUGUAAAGCUCCUUCGACGAGUCGAGUAGUUUGGGAAUGCUGCUCAAAAUGGGAGGUAUAUGUCUUCUAAAGCUAAAUAUUGGCCAGAGACCGAUAGCGCACAAGUAGAGUGAUCGAAAGAUGAAAAGCACUUUGAAAAGAGGGUUAAAAAGUACGUGAAAUUGUUGAAAGGGAAGCGCCUAUGACCAGACUUGGGCCCGGUGAAUCAUCCAGCGUUCUCGCUGGUGCACUUUGCCGGGCACAGGCCAGCAUCAGUUUGGCGCGGGGGAAAAAGGCUUUGGGAAUGUGGCUCCCUCGGGAGUGUUAUAGCCCAUUGUGUAAUACCCUGCGCCGGACUGAGGUACGCGCAUUGCAAGGAUGCUGGCGUAAUGGUCAUCAGCGACCCGUCUUGAAACACGGACCAAGGAGUCGUCUUCGUAUGCGAGUGUUCGGGUGUCAAACCCCUACGCGUAAUGAAAGUGAACGCAGGUGAGAGCUUCGGCGCAUCAUCGACCGAUCCUGAUGUUCUCGGAUGGAUUUGAGUAAGAGCAUACGGGGCCGGACCCGAAAGAAGGUGAACUAUGCCUGUAUAGGGUGAAGCCAGAGGAAACUCUGGUGGAGGCUCGCAGCGGUUCUGACGUGCGAAUCGAUCGUCAAAUAUGGGCAUGGGGGCGAAAGACUAAUCGAACCUUCUAGUAGCUGGUUUCCGCCAU